CUCGGCUGUGAUGAUCUGUUUUACCGCCCCAGUCUGAUGUCUAUGAUUGAGUGGUAGUUCCUGAGCUUCU